CCUACGGGAGGCAGCAGUGGGGAAUAUUGCACAAUGGGGGAAACCCUGAUGCAGCACCGCCGCGUGAGUGAAGAAGGUUUUCGGAUUGUAAAGCUCUGUUAGCAGGGAAGAGGAAGGACGGUACCUGCAGAGGAAGCCACGGCUAACUACGUGCCAGCAGCCGCGGUAAUACGUAGGUGGCAAGCGUUGUUCGGAAUAACUGGGCGGAAAGGAUGCGUAGGCGGUUAAACAAGGUAUAUGUUAAAUAUAUAGGCUUAACCUGUAGAAAGCAUAUAAAACUGUUUAACUAGAGUGCAGGAGGGGUAAGUGGAAAUCCUAGUGUAGCCGGGAAAUGCGUAGAGAUUAGGAAGAACAACAGUGGCGAAGGCGACUUACUUGACUGGUAACGACGCUGAGGCAUGAGAGCAUGGGGAGCAAACAGGAUUAGAUACCCUAGUAGUC
rnacentral:rRNA from 1 species